rnacentral:rRNA from 1 species
GAUGAACGCUGGCGGCGUGCCUAAUACAUGCAAGUCGAGCGAACAGACGAGGAGCUUGCUCCUCUGACGUUAGCGGCGGACGGGUGAGUAACACGUGGAUAACCUACCUAUAAGACUGGGAUAACUUCGGGAAACCGGAGCUAAUACCGGAGAAUAUAUUGAACCGCAUGGUUCAAUAGUGAAAGACGGUUUUGCUGUCACUUAUAGAUGGAUCCGCGCCGCAUUAGCUAGUUGGUAAGGUAACGGCUUACCAAGGCGACGAUGCGUAGCCGACCUGAGAGGGUGAUCGGCCACACUGGAACUGAGACACGGUCCAGACUCCUACGGGAGGCAGCAGUAGGGAAUCUUCCGCAAUGGGCGAAAGCCUGACGGAGCAACGCCGCGUGUGUGAUGAAGGUCUUCGGAUCGUAAAGCUCUGUUAUUAGGGAGGAACAAAUGUGUAAGUAACUAUGCACGUCUUGACGGUACCUACUCAGAAAGCCACGGCUAACUACGUG